CCUACGGUGAGCAGCAGUGAGGAAUAUUGGUCAAUGGGAGGAAUCCUGAACCAGCCAUGCCGCGUGCAGGACGACGGCUCUACGAGUUGUAAACUGCUUUUGUACCGGGGUAAAAUGCUCUACGAGUAGGGUUUUGAAAGUACGGUACGAAUAAGGAUCGGCUAAAUCCGUGCCAGCAGCCGCGGUAAUACGGAGGAUCCGAGCGUUAUCCGGCUUCAUUGGGUUUAAAGGGUGCGUAGGUUGUUUUAUAAGUUAGCGGUGAAAUACCGAUGCUCAACUUCGGAAUUGCCUCUGAUACUGUUCGGCUAGAGAGUAGUUGCGGUAGGCGGAAUGUAUGGUGUAGCGGUGAAAUGCUUAGAGAUCAUACAGAACACCGAUUGCGAAGGCAGCUUACCAAGCUACUUCUGACGUUGAGGCACGAAAGCGUGGGGAGCAAACAGGAUUAGAUACCCGGGUGUC
rnacentral:rRNA from 1 species